CGCGGCCUAUCAGCUUGUUGGUGGGGUAGUGGCUUACCAAGGCUUUGACGGGUAGCCGGCCUGAGAGGGUGACCGGCCACAUUGGGACUGAGAUACGGCCCAGACUCCUACGGGAGGCAGCAGUGGGGAAUAUUGCACAAUGGGCGGAAGCCUGAUGCAGCAACGCCGCGUGCGGGAUGACGGCCUUCGGGUUGUAAACCGCUUUCGCCUGUGACGAAGCGUGAGUGACGGUAAUGGGUAAAGAAGCACCGGCUAACUACGUGCCAGCAGCCGCGGUGAUACGUAGGGUGCGAGCGUUGUCCGGAUUUAUUGGGCGUAAAGGGCUCGUAGGUGGUUGAUCGCGUCGGAAGUGUAAUCUUGGGGCUUAACCCUGAGCGUGCUUUCGAUACGGGUUGACUUGAGGAAGGUAGGGGAGAAUGGAAUUCCUGGUGGAGCGGUGGAAUGCGCAGAUAUCAGGAGGAACACCAGUGGCGAAGGCGGUUCUCUGGGCAUUUCCUGACGCUGAGGAGCGAAAGCGUGGGGAGCGAACAGGCUUAGAUACCCUGGUAGUCCACGCUGUAAACGGUGGGUACUAGGUGUGGGGUCCAUUCCACGGGUUCCGUGCCGUAGCUAACGCUUUAAGUACCCCGCCUGGGGAGUACGG
rnacentral:rRNA from 1 species